rnacentral:tRNA from 1 species
GGUCCCAUGGUGUAGCGGUUAGCACCUUGGACUUUGAAUCCAAAGAGCCGAGUUCGAGUCUCGGUGGGACGU